ensembl:snRNA U6 U6 spliceosomal RNA
AUGCUCACUUUGUCUGCACAUAUACUAAAAUUGGAACAAUACAGAGAGGAUUAGUAUGACCCCUGAGCAAGGAUGACAUGCAAAUUCAUGAAGCAUUCCAUAUUUUU